GGUGAGUAAUGUCUGGGAAACUGCCUGAUGGAGGGGGAUAACUACUGGAAACGGUAGCUAAUACCGCAUAACGUCGCAAGACCAAAGAGGGGGACCUUCGGGCCUCUUGCCAUCGGAUGUGCCCAGAUGGGAUUAGCUAGUAGGUGGGGUAACGGCUCACCUAGGCGACGAUCCCUAGCUGGUCUGAGAGGAUGACCAGCCACACUGGAACUGAGACACGGUCCAGACUCCUACGGGAGGCAGCAGUGGGGAAUAUUGCACAAUGGGCGCAAGCCUGAUGCAGCCAUGCCGCGUGUAUGAAGAAGGCCUUCGGGUUGUAAAGUACUUUC
rnacentral:rRNA from 2 species